UCCCUGGAGGACUAGUGGUUAGGCCACAGCGCGCUCUCUAAUGUGGCCUGGGUUCGAUUCCUGGCCAGGGAA